UACGAAGGUGGCAAGCGUUGUUCGGAUUUACUGGGCGUACAGGGAGCGUAGGCGGUUGGAUAAGCCCUCCGUGAAAUCUCCAGGCUUAACCUGGAAAGUGCAGAGGGGACUGUUCAGCUAGAGGAUGGGAGAGGAGCGCGGAAUUCCCGGUGUAGCGGUGAAAUGCGUAGAGAUCGGGAGGAACACCGGUGGCGAAGGCGGCAUCCUGGACCAACACUGACACUGAUGAGCGAAAGCCAGGGGAGCAAACGGG
rnacentral:rRNA from 1 species